rnacentral:rRNA from 1 species
UACAGAGGGUGCAAGCGUUAAUCGGAAUUACUGGGCGUAAAGCGUGCGUAGGUGGUUCGGUAAGUCAGAUGUGAAAGCCCUGGGCUUAACCUGGGAAUUGCGUUUGAUACUGUCGGACUAGAGUUUGGUAGAGGGAAGUGGAAUUCCACGUGUAGCGGUGAAAUGCGUAGAGAUCAGAAAGAAGGCCGGUGGCGAAGGCGGCUUCCUGGACUAAAACUGACACUGAGGCACGAAAGCGUGGGGAGCAAACAGG